rnacentral:rRNA from 1 species
GACAGAGGUGGCGAGCGUUGUUCGGAAUCACUGGGCUUAAAGGGCGAGUAGGCGGUGGAGCAAGUCUGAGGUGGAAUCCUACGGCUUAACCGUAGAACUGCCUUAGAAACUGUUUUACUUGAGUCAGUGAGGGGAGGGCGGAAUUCCUGGUGUAGCGGUGAAAUGCGUAGAUAUCAGGAGGAAGGCCUGUGGCGAAAGUGGCCCUCUGGCACUGUACUGACGCUGAGGCGCGAAAGCGUGGGGAGCAAACAGG